rnacentral:rRNA from 1 species
AACGAACGCUGGCGGCAGGCCUAACACAUGCAAGUCGAACGCCCCGCAAGGGGAGUGGCAGACGGGUGAGUAACGCGUGGGAACGUACCCUUCGGUUCGGAAUAACCCGGGGAAACUCGGGCUAAUACCGGAUACGUCCGCAAGGAGAAAGAUUUAUCGCCGAAGGAUCGGCCCGCGUCGGAUUAGCUAGUUGGUGGGGUAAUGGCCCACCAAGGCGACGAUCCGUAGCUGGUCUGAGAGGAUGAUCAGCCACACUGGGACUGAGACACGGCCCAGACUCCUACGGGAGGCAGCAGUGGGGAAUAUUGGACAAUGGGCGAAAGCCUGAUCCAGCCAUGCCGCGUGAGUGAAGAAGGCCUUAGGGUUGUAAAGCUCUUUCAGCGGGAAGAUAAUGACGGUACCCGCAGAAGAAG